ensembl:lncRNA
AUCGUAACAGGAUGUUUUUAUAUUCACAGGUCUAAUUUCACGCAUGACUUUUUUGUACGAUCAUAUUAAUUUACUUAGUAUUUACUGAUUUUCUUACGAUCCCAACAAUAUACGCUCAGUAGCGGUGAAAAAGUAAGAAAGACGAACAGAAACAACGUGUAGUAUAUAAAUACAAAUAACAAAGACAAUCAAAUGUUUACCCAAUUGGUAACAAAAAAUGCACAAAGCCUAGGUGGCUCCUCAUCCUGGCCAGUGCUCAUAAAUCUUUCAGAAGUGCCUCUGAAUUCGCAUUGAAGCCACCAGUGAAAUAUAUAAGAAUCCCUACAUGAUACCAUUGAUGUUCUUACCAGGUUCAGUGUGUUACCAAAAGGGUAUUAUGAAAUUUUCGCUGAACUGUGGAAUUUAGACGACUCCCAGACGGUGGAGAACGGUACAGCCAACUUCACAAUAAAUGUGAAAUAGGAAAAGCAUUUGAGUGGAGAAUGACAUUCUCAAGACGUAGUGUGUAAGACAUUUCAGCUAAGCCUUUAAAAUACUACUUCAAUACAAUUUCUAAUAAUAAUCAACAAUGUAUGUAUGCAAAGCUAUCCCUGAUGUAUAAGAGACAAGUAUCAAAUAAACUCGAGCUUUUAAAAUGUCUGAUUAUGCAAAUACUAACUUAACAUGUCAAUGAACUCCAUUCUUGUUUGGAUGUUAAGUCACUAAUUAAAUCCACUAGGGUGCACUCGAAGUCCAGUCACAGAAGCAAUAAAUGAACAUGCCAGUGUAGUAUUCCACAUUCAUUUAACAAACAACAGAACAUCUUAUAUGUAGCUAGGAAGUUAGUCAUUGAACCUAUGUGAUCUUGUUUCAACAAAAAAUAGCAUUUUACUGUUUAGACAAAUCAAUAA